GAUGAACGCUAGCGGCAGGCUUGACACAUGCAAGUCGAGGGGCAGCGCGGGUAGCAAUACCUGGCGGCGACCGGCAAACGGGUGCGGAACACGUACGCAACCUUCCCAUAACUGGUGAAUAGCCCUCCGAAAGGAGGAUUAAUACACCGUAACAUAACGAAGAGGCAUCUUUUUGUUAUUAUAGUAGCAAUACGGUUUUGGAUGGGCGUGCGCCUGAUUAGGUAGUUGGCGGGGUAACGGCCCACCAAGCCUGCGAUCAGUAACUGGUGUGAGAGCACGACCAGUCACACGGGCACUGAGACACGGGCCCGACUCCUACGGGAGGCAGCAGUAAGGAAUAUUGGUCAAUGGACGAAAGUCUGAACCAGCUAUGCCGCGUGAAGGAUUAAGGCCCUCUGGGUUGUAAACUUCUUUUAUCUGGGACGAAAAAAGGGCAUUCUUGCUCACUUGACGGUACCAGAGGAAUAAGCACCGGCUAACUCCGUGCCAGCCGCCGCCGUAA
rnacentral:rRNA from 1 species